GAAAGCCGUAUUCGAUGAAAGUCGUAUGUACGGCUUGGAGGGACCACCCUAC
rnacentral:ncRNA from 1 species